AAGCUAGGGAGUGAGGAGUUUGUUUGUGAGCUAACUCAUGACCGAAAUUUUAAUCACAAACUACGCUCGUAGAAAGUCAGGCUGGUCUGCUUUCGGACACGGGUUCGACACCCGUCGCCUCCACCA
rnacentral:tmRNA from 2 species